UCACGAUGUCCUGAUGCAAAUCCUCAGUGUGUGUAGUGUACUUGUGUCCUGCUGACUGGUCUUGUAGUUUGUGUGCAGCAUCAGAGGUCACAUCUCCAGACUCAGGAUGAUGAACACACUCACUCUUCUGCUGGUUGCUCUCUCUCUGUCCUGUUGUACAGGUCAGAGUAUGGAGUCCAUUCCUUCCAGUUCAGUAGUGAAGAGGCCUGGGGAGACUCUCAGUCUCUCCUGCAGAGGAUCUGGCUUCACAUUUACCUGUUGCACUAUGAACUGGAUCAGACAACCUGCAGGAAAAGCACUGGAGUGGAUAGGAGUUGGCUACUCUUCUGCCAGUAGUAAUGCUUAUGCCAGCAGUGUGAGAGGACGUGCAGAAAUCAGUAGAGAUGACAGCAACAGCAUGGUGCAUCUGAGACUGUCCAACUUGAAGCCAGAGGACUCUGCUGUGUAUUACUGUGCCAAAGAAACACACUGGUUAAAGUGAGCAGAGAGGCUGUACAAAAACUCUCCAGAAAUGUGUGACAGAGACCUGCAGGGGGCAGUAGAACAUAUUAAUUGGGAUAAGAACAACCAAAAGAGCAGGACAAUUACAAUAAAUAUGCACAGGAGCAGCUGCUGUUACAGUUUGUCACUUCCUGCUGAAUUCUUUUUUCUCAACAAUAAUAGUUACUAAACUUUUCAAUAAUGAUUUUUUACAGCAGUUGUCCAA